GCCCGGUUAGCUCAAUCGGUAGAGCGUGAGACUCUUACGAGUACACAAUCUCAAGGUUGCGGGUUCGACCCCCGCAUCGGGCU
rfam:Neonectria ditissima strain R09/05 contig_216, whole genome shotgun sequence.